UGGGGAAAAUUGGACAAUGGGCGCAAGCCUGAUCCAGCCAUGCCGCGUGAGUGAUGAAGGCCCUAGGGUUGUAAAGCUCUUUCACCGGUGAAGAUAAUGACGGUAACCGGAGAAGAAGCCCCGGCUAACUUCGUGCCAGCAGCCGCGGUAAUACGAAGGGGGCUAGCGUUGUUCGGAUUUACUGGGCGUAAAGCGCACGUAGGCGGACUAUUAAGUCAGGGGUGAAAUCCCGGGGCUCAACCCCGGAACUGCCUUUGAUACUGGUAGUCUUGAGUUCGAGAGAGGUGAGUGGAAUUCCGGGUGUAGAGGUGAAAUUCGUAGAUAUUCGGAGGAACACCAGUGGCGAAGGCGGCUCACUGGCUCGAUACUGACGCUGAGGUGCGAAAGCGUGGGGAGCAAACAGG
rnacentral:rRNA from 1 species